CAUAUCAAUAAGCGGAGGAAGAUUCCGUAGGGCAACCUGCCGAUGUAACUAAUAAAAAACCUUUUUUUGCUUCUAGCAUUACCUGUUCUGAUACAAACAAUCGUUACAACUUUCAACAAUGGAUCUCUUGGCUCUGGCAUCGAUGAAGAACGCAGCGAAAUGCGAUAAGUAGUGUGAAUUGCAGAAUUCAGUGAAUCAUCGAAUCUUUGAACGCACAUUGCGCCCCUCGGUAUUCCGUGGGGCAUGCCUGUUCGAGCGUCAUCUACACCCUCAAGCUCUGCUUGGUGUUGGGCGUCUGUCCCGCCUCUGCGCGCGGACUCGCCCCAAAUUCAUUGGCAGCGGUCCUUGCCCCCUCUCGCGCAGCACAUUGCGCUUCUCGAGGGGCGCGGCCCGCGUCCACGAAGCAAACAUUACCGUCUUUGACCUCGGAUCAGGUAGGGAUACCCGCUGAACUUAAGCAUAUCAUAG
rnacentral:rRNA from 1 species